UAUCAUAUACUAUUGUCUAGUGUAUAGGAUAUCCAAUAAACAAUAGAUGCAAUAGAUCACACUGAUUACAUAGUUUGAACCUACUGCUCUGGUUUGAACCUUCUUUCUUAUAUGUUGUUGUUACUCAGGUAGCUUGUUGUUUAGCUUGUUUUCUCAACAUGUCUGCAAACUCAUCUGAAAGCUCUGAUGAUUCUCAUUCAACCCAAACGCGUGUUAGAAGAUCCAAGGUUUGGGAAUAUUUUGAGCAGAAUUUAGUUGAAGCUGAUGAUGGUUUUAAAGCUGUGUGCAAGUAUUGUCAAAUCCGUUUAAGCACUAAGUCAGGAACUAGCAGCCUUAGGACCCAUAUUUCUCAUCAUUGUCAUGCAAUUGGGGAAGCUGAUAGGAAAAGAUUUGUUACCUGCAUGGUUGCAGUAGUACUAAUAAGUUCUUGAAUAAUAUUGGUCAAUCUAUUAGAUACAAGUAUAUCAUUUGGAGGUUAAGAUGUUGCACUCUUGUGAAGUUCAGUGCUCGUUUUGUUCAGCUUGAUGUCUGCAAUGGAUGAAGUUCUCUUGUUCUAAUUGUUGGAUGCUUCAUCAUCGUACAAGCUCUGAUUGUAUAAUAAUCCUUGUUGUCACUAGUUUCAGAUUCUCGUCAACUCAUGACCUAGUGGCCCUCUAUUUUAACGUAGCUAAUGGAACAUUUAAGCA